CCUCGGUUUUGGCGGCCAGGAAGCGCGACCUUCGGCUACUCUCCCAGCUUGGCUUCAGGGAUGGAGACCGCUUUUUAGUUAUUGUUUUUCUGUGGGUGAUACGAUCUCGGAGCGUGGGAACCGGAGGGAGACAAAAGCAGUGGCUUAGGUGGCGCUUAAGCAGAAGUGAAAGGACUCAAUUUUAUUGUUUUUUAAAUCUUUGUUUUUUCGUUUUAUUUCUGGUAGAUAGUUGGGGAACAAAAGGUGUGCUUUCGAACCACCUAUGGGAAGAGAGGUGUUGCUUUUAUUCUUAAAGUCUCACAAUAGUGGAAGCUUCAGAAUGGAGACGGUUGUUAGUUUAGGGCACCGCUGUCCAGUAGCACUAUAAUGCGAGCCACGUGUGGAAUGUAAAAUAUAGAGGGAAGUAACCCUACUAGUACAUUUUAUUUAACUCAAAGUACACAAAAUAUUAAUUCAAUGUGGUCUGUACAAAUCAUUGAGAUAGUUUAGUUUUUUUUUUUUUAACUAAGUCUUGGAAAUCGGCAUGUUACACUGACAGCUUAUCUAGUCAUAUUUCAGGGGCUUAAUACCCGCAUGUGGCUAACGUACUGGUCAGCACAGGUCUAAGCUAGAGGUCUAGGUCUGGAGACCAGAAACAUUGGCAUCACCUGGGAGCUUUUUAGACCUGCACAUUCUCGGCUCUUCUCCCUCUCCCCCGCAACCUGCUGAAUCAGACUACAUUUUAACAAUAGCCUCAGGUGACUGGUAUACAUAUUAAAGUUUGAGAACCACUUUCUUCUAGUGAACCAACAGGCAGGCAGGCAGGCGUCAAGCUUGGCUGCCAGCUUCUUGCUAGAUAUGUCAUUUUAGGUCUUUCAAGAUUGCCCUCUGUGUGUGUUAUUUAAGGAACAGCUUUUCUUAAAGGCCUGAAGACUGAACAUUCAUUUCAUUAAAAAUAUAU
rnacentral:lncRNA from 10 species